CCAAAAAAAAAACCUAGCGCUGCCCCAAUAUUCCUUCUCUCUCCAUGCCAAAAAUGGUAAUAGCGUAGAGACCUCAGGCUUUUUGUAGUCCUUGCAUAGCUAUUUUCAUACAAUAAUUAAUGUUUCAACAUUGUUUUCGCUCAAAUUCGUCCAAACACGUCUUGAGAUUGGAAGCACAAGGCUUCAAGAUCCAUUCUUGACACAGGCUGCACCAACAAAAGGUGGAAGUGCUGUGGUUUGAGUUGGUACUGAGAUCUAUUAGACGACAAGAGGUUCAGACAGAUGAGUCUAAGACACUCGCCAUAGGAUGUUCCCGGGCUAUCAGCUGGAUUGGUGAACUCUAUUUCUAUUCGGAGUAUUGCCGAGUCGGAGUACAUAUGUAUAUAUAUGUGUCAUAUGCAUUAUGGGUACGUCGGGGACCUGUCUCGACCUAUGUUAUGGUUUCUAGGUUCAUGUUAGAGACUUUGCAGAUAGUGUUUUGGGUAUGGUGUGUCGAGAUGUUGACAGUGUCUAUAGCAGUCAUGUAGAUCUGCACAUUCAUGUGUAUUCUUUACGAAGAGUUUUACUGAGUUUACGAUAAAUUGAUAGCAAGUAUGAAAUGAAUGGUUUAUGGGAUCACGUAAGGAUAAUAGAAAAGGAAUGAAUAACAUGGUGACACUCGGUCAGGCAGGACAUCGGGUGUCGAUCGCGGCCCUCCGGUUUGGGUCGUGACAUUUAAGGUCCAUCCACCCUUUGGUCCAAUAGGGAAAUUCUUUCAAAGAUUAUCGAGUCCGAGGAAAGAAAUGGAAUUUAAUAUUGUUAAAGACGCAAAGAAGGCCCAGCCAUGGACGAAACUGGCUAACUAGGGGCUUGGUACGCCCCUAGUCUUCCCUCUCUUGCAUUUUUAUUUUUGCUAGCUUUAAAAUGCAGUUUUAUUGUAUAUUUGUAUUUGUAUGAAGUUGUAAAAACACACAUAUUAUAUUGGAAUGUUUAAAUGUUUGAA